CCUCAAAUGACUGGGUUCCUCUGGACUACUUUAACUCUCUCGUCUACACUUAGCGUCUAGCAGUUCGCCAACCAAGGUUCGGGUUUUCCUAUGCGGACUGGCUUCUGCGGCAGUUUCUGCUCGUGGUUAUCUGCUCCGGGAAGCCUGGCAUGCUGCAGUCCAUGGGAUCACAAAGAGUCCAAAACGGCUGAGAGACCGAACUAAACUCCUUGUAGACUCCAAUUACACAUACGUUGAAAUAUCUGCUUUGGAAGAGAGGAGUUGAAUAAUAAACAGAUGCACUGAACUUGAAGGAAAAAUGCUUUUCUGUCUUAAAGAUUGAAAUAGGUGUACAAGUGGAUUGUACUCGAUCACAUCUGAACACCACGGACAGACCACGCACCUGCAGGAUCAGUACGCCCUGCCUGAGAAAACCAACUGCAAUGAAAUACUUUUGAAUUGAGAAGCAUCUGGAAAUUGAGGAUAUCAGAGAAGCUGCUUGCUGGUGCAGAGAGGAGACCAGUUAUGCCUGAGGAAACAGAUCCUGCAAAUAACAAAUGACUCAUCUAUAGGAGCCUCAGGCUCACCACAAUUUUCAUGAGCUAACCUGACCACAAGAUGACGCCCAUGUUAUCUGCUGGAGAUAGCCUGAUCAAAAACACUAUUAUUGUGGAGAUGAUUCUUUUUAUCUCCUGUAAUCCCUUACCUUUCCUCUGUCCAACCAUUAAAGGGAGCAGUUGCCUAAAGGUGUAUGAUAUGCAGGUCCAGAUGCUAAAGAAUACACAGAUGAGUUAGAGGCAAGAAGAAUUCUUGGUGUUCUGGGGGACACUUGCCUGCCCCCUGCUUACCUGUGGGCACUGUACAUUGUCAGCCCCAACAUGAUACCCAUGUGGAAAAGGAUGACAUCGAGCAAAGAGCAUAGGUGGAAACUUGUUCUCCCCACAACACAUCCUCAGCUGCUUUUGACGCCAAAGCUUAAAGGGAGAAAGAAGACUUGCUUCCAAUGGCUGGCACCACUCUCGGCAUCCACCUCUCAGAUUCAUAGAGAGGUAAGGGGAAGGAGGAAGGCAGGUGGCUUUCUAGGGGAAACACGGGUCAAGAAUGGGAAUCUGACCACCCAACCUAAGAUCCUCAUCUAUAAAGAGGCUACCCUGCCUUAGUCCAACUGAGGUCACCAUCUUGAACUCAUAAAGGUUCAGAAGAGAACACAAGC